rnacentral:rRNA from 1 species
UACGAAGGGGGCUAGCGUUGUUCGGAAUUACUGGGCGUAAAGGGCGCGCAGGCGGCCCUCCAAGUCAGGCGUGAAAGCCCCGGGCUCAACCCGGGAAUAGCGCUUGAGACUGGGGGGCUUGAGUUCGGGAGAGGAGAGUGGAAUUCCCAGUGUAGAGGUGAAAUUCGUAGAUAUUCGGAAGAACACCAGUGGCGAAGGCGGCUCACUGGACUGGUAUUGACGCUGAGGUGCGAAAGCGUGGGGAGCAAACAGG